GAAUCACCGGCUAACUACAUGCCAGCCGCCUCGGUGAUACGUAGGGUGCGAGCGUUGUCCGGAUUUAUUGGGCGUAAAGGGCUCGUAGGUGGUUGAUCGCGUCGGAAGUGUAAUCUUGGGGCUUAACCCUGAGCGUGCUUUCGAUACGGGUUGACUUGAGGAAGGUAGGGGAGAAUGGAAUUCGUGGUGGAGCGUUGGAAUGCGCAUAUAUCAAGAGGAACACCAGUGGCGAAGGCGGUUCUCUGGGCCUUUCCUGACGCUGAGGACCGAAAGCGUGGGGAGCGAACAAGCUUAGAUACCCUGGUAGUCCACGCUGUAAACGGUGGGUACUAGGUGUGGGGUCCAUUCCACGGGUUCCGUGCCGUAGCUAACGCUUUAAGUACCCCGCCUGGGGAGUACGGCCGCAAGGCUAAAACUCAAAGGAAUUG
rnacentral:rRNA from 1 species